rnacentral:rRNA from 1 species
CACGUAGGGUGCGAGCGUUGUCCGGAAUUAUUGGGCGUAAAGAGCUCGUAGGCGGUGUGUCGCGUCGGCCGUGAAAACCUGCAGCUUAACUGUGGGCUUGCGGUCGAUACGGGCAUCACUGGAGUUCGGCAGGGGAGACUGGAAUUCCUGGUGUAGCGGUGAAAUGCGCAGAUAUCAGGAGGAACACCGGUGGCGAAGGCGGGGUCUCUGGGCAGUAACUGACGCUGAGGAGCGAAAGCGUGGGGAGCGAACAGG